rnacentral:rRNA from 1 species
CCCGCUGAGCAUAAGCAUAUCAAUAAGCGGAGGAAAAGAAACUCAUACAAGGAUUCCCCUAGUAACUGCGAGUGAGAGCCGGGAAAAGCUCAAAUUUUAAAUCUGGCGGUCUUCAGGCCGUCGCGAGUUGUAAUCUAGAGAUAGCGUCUUCCGCGCUGGACCGUGUAUAAGUUUCCUGGAAUGGAACGUCGUAGAGGGUGAGAAUACCCGCUUUGACACGGACUGCCAGGAAUAUGUGAUGCGCUCUCGACGAGUCGAGUUGUUUGGGAAUGCAGCUCAAAUAGGGUGGUAAAUUCCAUCUAAAGCUAAAUACAGACGAGAGACCGAUAGCGAACAAGUACCGUGAGGGAAAGAUGAAAAGAACUUUGGAAAGAGAGUUAGACAGUACGUGAAAUUGCUGAAAGGGAAACGCUUGAUGUCAGUCGCGUCUGCCGGGGAUCAGCCUUGCUCUUUUCGCUCCGUGUAUUUCCUGGUAGACGGGUCAGCAUCGGUUUUGACCGUCGGAAAAUGGCUGAAGGAAGGUGGGACUCCUCGGAGUGUGUUAUAGACUCUGGUCGAAGACGACGAUUGGGCCAGAGGAACACAGCGACGCCCUCCGGGUUUCGCUGCGUUCGUCCCACGUUAAUGUGCUUAGGAUGCUGGCAUAAUGGCUUAUAAACGACCCGUCUUGAAACACGG